rnacentral:rRNA from 1 species
UGCAAGUCGAACGAACCUUCGGGUUAGUGGCGGACGGGUGAGUAACGCGUGGGAAUCUGCCCUCAGGAGGGGGAUAACGGUUGGAAACGGCCGCUAAUACCCCAUAUGCCGAGAGGUGAAAUGAAUUUCGCCUGAGGAUGAGCCCGCGUCUGAUUAGCUAGUUGGUGAGGUAAGAGCUCACCAAGGCAUCGAUCAGUAGCUGGUCUGAGAGGAUGAUCAGCCACACUGGGACUGAGACACGGCCCAGACUCCUACGGGAGGCAGCAGUGGGGAAUUUUCCGCAAUGGGCGAAAGCCUGACGGAGCAACGCCGCGUGAGGGAUGAAGGCCUCUGGGCUGUAAACCUCUUUUAUCAAGGAAGAAGAUCUGACGGUACUUGAUGAAUAAGCCACGGCUAAUUCCGUGCCAGCAGCCGCGGUAAUACGGGAGUGGCAAGCGUUAUCCGGAAUUAUUGGGCGUAAAGCGUCCGCAGGCGGCCCAACAAGUCUGCUGUUAAAAAGUGGAGCUUAACUCCAUCAUGGCAGUGGAAACUGUUGGGCUCGAGUGUGGUAGGGGCAGAGGGAAUUCCUGGUGUAGCGGUGAAAUGCGCAGAUAUCGGGAAGAACACCAGUGGCGAAGGCGCUCUGCUGGGCCAUCACUGACGCUCAUGGACGAAAGCCAGGGGAGCGAAAGGGAUUAGAUACCCCUGUAGUCCUGGCCGUAAACGAUGAACACUAGGUGUCGGGGGAAUCGACCCCUCCGGUGUCGUAGCCAACGCGUUAAGUGUUCCGCCUGGGGAGUACGCACGCAAGUGUGAAACUCAAAGGAAUUGACGGGGGCCCGCACAAGCGGUGGAGUAUGUGGUUUAAUUCGAUGCAACGCGAAGAACCUUACCAGGGUUUGACAUCCUGCGAAUCUCUUGGAAACCUGAGAGUGCCUUCGGGAGCGCAGUGACAGGUGGUGCAUGGCUGUCGUCAGCUCGUGUC